ACAGGUGCUGCAUGGCUGUCGUCAGCUCGUGUCGUGAGAUGUUGGGUUAAGUCCCGCAACGAGCGCAACCCUUGUCAUUAGUUGCCAUCAUUUAGUUGGGCACUCUAAUGAGACUGCCGGUGACAAACCGGAGGAAGGUGGGGAUGACGUCAAGUCCUCAUGGCCCUUAUGGGUAGGGCUUCACACGUCAUACAAUGGUCGGUACAGAGGGUCGCUAACCCGCGAGGGGGUGCCAAUCUCAGAAAGCCGAUCGUAGUCCGGAUCGUAGUCUGCAACUCGACUACGUGAAGUCGGAAUCGCUAGUAAUCGCGGAUCAGAAUGCCGCGGUGAAUACGUUCCCGGGUCUUGUACACACCGCCCGUCACACCAUGGGAGUGGGUUUCACCAGAAGUAGCUAGCCUAACCGUAAGGGGGGCGGUUACCACGGUGAGAUUCAUGACUGGGGUGAAGUCGUAACAAGGUAGCCGUACCGGAAGG
rnacentral:rRNA from 1 species